AUCGCUUCUCGGCCUUAAGGCUAAGAUCAAAGUGUAGUAUCUGUUCUUAUCAGCUUAACUUUCAAGACUUCGUGUUGAGAAAUUUGAUUGACAGAUACAUGGUUAGAAAUUUCGGGAAUAUACACAAAGCAGUAACGGUCGCGGUCUUUUUCGGAGAAUAUAAUAUAAACUUUCUGAAAGAAAUUCGU